AACGAACGCUGGCGGCAGGCCUAACACAUGCAAGUCGAGCGCCCUUUCGGGGGAGCGGCGGACGGGUGAGUAACGCGUGGGAAUAUGCCCUUCUCUACGGAAUAGCCUCGGGAAACUGAGAGUAAUACCGUAUACGCCCUAUGGGGGAAAGAUUUAUCGGGGAAGGAUUAGCCCGCGUUGGAUUAGGUAGUUGGUGGGGUAAUGGCCUACCAAGCCGACGAUCCAUAGCUGGUUUGAGAGGAUGAUCAGCCACACUGGGACUGAGACACGGCCCAGACUCCUACGGGAGGCAGCAGUGGGGAAUCUUAGACAAUGGGGGCAACCCUGAUCUAGCCAUGCCGCGUGAGUGAUGAAGGCCUUAGGGUUGUAAAGCUCUUUCAGCUGGGAAGAUAAUGACGGUACCAGCAGAAGCCCCGGCUAACUCCGUG
rnacentral:rRNA from 1 species